rnacentral:rRNA from 1 species
UACGUAGGGUGCGAGCGUUAAUCGGAAUUACUGGGCGUAAAGUGUGCGCAGGCGGCCGCGCAAGUCGAGUGUGAAAGCCCCGAGCUUAACCUGGGAAUGGCAGUGGAAACUAGGGGACUUGAAUCUGGCAGAGGGGGGUGGAAUUCCGACGUGUAGCAGUGAAGUGCGUAGAGAUGUGGAGGAACACCGAUGGCGAAGGCAGCCCCCUGGGCUGAGAUUGACGCUCAGGCACGAAAGCGUGGGGAGCAAACAGG